AAAGGAAUAGACGGGGGCCCGCACAAGCGGCGGAGCAUGUGGCUUAAUUCGACGCAACGCGAAGAACCUUACCAAGGCUUGACAUAUGCCGGACAGCCUCAGAGAUGGGGUUUCUCUUUGAGUCGGUGUACAGGUGGUGCAUGGCUGUCGUCAGCUCGUGUCGUGAGAUGUUGGGUUAAGUCCCGCAACGAGCGCAACCCUUGUCCUGUGUUGCCAGCAACUCUCUUUUGAGGGGUUGGGGACUCACGGGAGACUGCCGGGGUCAACUCGGAGGAAGGUGGGGACGACGUCAAGUCAUCAUGCCCCUUAUGUCUUGGGCUGCACACGUGCUACAAUGGCUGGUACAAUGAGUUGCGAAGCUGUGAGGUGGAGCGAAUCUCAAAAAGCCAGUCUCAGUUCGGAUUGGGGUCUGCAACUCGACCCCAUGAAGUCGGAGUCGCUAGUAAUCGCAGAUCAGCAUUGCUGCGGUGAAUACGUUCCCGGGCCUUGUACACACCGCCCGU
rnacentral:rRNA from 1 species